AAAAACUCGAUUGAAGUUAGAAACGAUGGCGCCAGGUUGUCACGUCAGCCAUAAAUUAUUUAUAAUAGUUUGUUUUGUAUGCUUUUUAUACUGUUUGAACGGAUCCCUAUUGAUUUAAUUGAUGUUGAAGGAUGGUUUAGCCACACAAUUUCGAAGGGAGCUAAUAUGUGGCAACGUCGCUUUAUUUGGAAGAGAUGUGAAGAUGAAAGGAUGCAUUUUCUUUCGUUAUAUUGCUCAAUAUAUAUUUACAAUAAGCAAAUAUUAUAACGACUUUAGAUUAUUUUAUUAAGCAUAUUUUCUGCGAAAAAAUAUGAGUAAAUACGGUUACUUUAUUGAUUUUAAUAUUAUCAUAUAAUAAAUAAAAUCUUUCAAC